GGCUCAUGAGCACCCCCUCUUCUCCCCAUUCCAUCCCAAACCCCAGCCCGCAGCCUGGACACAAGCCCCGACUGGCCUGUCACUCUUGCUUCUCUCUGGCCCAGAGCCUGCAGCAGCAUCCAGCCCCCCCUUCCCAAAUCUUCCCCACCGCAGGCCCCAAGUAUGUACGACCCAAGACUUCCAUGCCCAAGAUGGUGUGGGGACAGAAACAGUUUCCAGGGUGACAGGCAGAGGACAGAGUUUAAUCCAAUCCUCCCGCAACACACCCGCAAAUGAUUUCAAGCAUCUGCACUGCAAAGGCUGAGUGGGGUUGGGGUGGGGGGAUCCGGGUCACUGCAGGGAAAAACUACAGACACUUUUUUUGCUACUUGCAGGUAAGAUUUCAGAAGGGGAUGCUGGCCAGGGAGGGCUUGGGUCCUCCCAGGUGAGCUGGACAGUGAGAGGUGACUAGCUGGGGCCAGAGGACUAGGCCACCUGGAGAUGGGACGCCACUCCAGGGAGGAAGGGAGCAGCUGCGGGGAGGUGGGUUGGCACAGCUGGGCCUUUUCACAAUGUACCCCACUCUCUCCCCAGACCCGCAUGGAUGAUGACAAGCAACUGAGAGUUGAGCCCCCUCCUUCCUGUGGACCUCUCCUUCCAUCACAGCCCACCCCAACCCAAAAUCCUCAGACUAGCAGCAUGUGUGUUGACGGAAGGACACUAGGCUCCAAGAAUCAGAGCUGGCAGGCUUUUCCUUCAUUCCAAUGGUGGGUCCUUCCGUAGCAGACAAAGACCAGAGCCCUCCUGAGGGGACUUUGCCACGCCUGCCUCUUCUGCUCACAACCUUGAUGACAAAGGAGUAAAGAUUCCAGCUGGGAAGCACCGACCUAUGUGGUUGCCAUGGAGAGCAGAAGCCCCUGCUUCACCCUGGUCCCCAGGAGACAUCAUCCCCACUCCUGGCAUCCCUCCUCAGAGCCAGCAGGAAGACAGGUCGACGCCCCACCCAGAGGGCAAGUGACCCCAUCACGGGGCUGCUGGAAGUGUGGGUCAGGGUCAGACGAAGUCACGGAUGUGCAAGCCCUUGGCAGGCACUUGGCACCCAGUAGGCCCUUACAGAACUUUUGCAAGUUACACAUGAGCAGUAUGGCCCUCUGUCCGCCCUGGUGGCAGCCCCGUCCUACAGACCCACCGCCCGCUGCCUCCAGCCGGGCUCCUGGUGGUCCACACAGACAGGCCUCCACAUCCCACACCCAGUUCCUACCUGGUCCACAAGGCUGGGCCCAGCACCCAGGAGGUGACAGCUGCAAUGGAGGUGAGGCUGCCAGCCAGCACCAAGACAGGUCCCUGAGGCAGGUAUCCUGUGAGGGAGGGGGGUGCUUGAGCUGAGCUCCCUUAGGUGGGGCCAGAGGAGGCAUGGUAGCUUCCCAAAGCCCUUCCCUGCUCUUGGCAGCAGCGAGGGGGCCUCUUCCACGGACCUACCCAGAAGUGCCAAGUGCCCGCCUGGAAACCAAGGGGCCCUCUCACCUGGGGGCACCAGCCUGAAGGGGCUGGACUGGACACUGAUGUCGUUUGCAGCCUGGCACCGGAGCCAGUUCGAUGUUCGGAUGAAGAAACCAGGCCCACAGAGGUUGAGUGACUUGCUCAGGACCCGUAGCCUGCAAGUGUCGAGACCAUAGGGUUCCAAACCCUGGGCUCUCCUUCCAGAGGCUGGCUCCUCUCAGGGGCAGGGCCUGGGGGCAAGGGGGCCAGGGACACACCACUGGCUUGGGCAACACGCCCUAGUCCCCCCUACACACACAUACCCCAUGCCUUCCACCAGGAAGGACACCUGAAUUAAGGUCAGGGUAGAAGUGGGAAGAACAUAGGUUUUGGAGCUACACAGAGUGGGGUUUGGAAUCAGCCUUUGCCACUGGCCUGGGGCGUCAUUCUUAAUCACCAGAAGCGUUAUAUAGGCCGGAACCACAAACCCCACCCUCCAGCUGCUGUGAAGAUUCAACUAGAUAAAGCACAAAGAAUAAGUGCCUAUUUUAUCAGCGUGAGGCCAGAGCUCCACUGAUAGGGCCCCGGCCCUCCCUGGUCACUUCUGCCCCAAAGGCCCCUGCAGGGAGAUGAUACCCUGAGUCCCAGCCCCGAGCUACCCUGUUCUGGGCGCAGGCCUCAGGGACCCAGAGUGGCCUUGGAGGUGAGCACCUUGUCCCGUCCCCAGCCUCCUGUCUUCUGGCCCAGACCCUGCCCCCACCCCCCAGGUGUGCACUCACUGGCCCACAGCUCCCAGUACAUCUGCAGCUUGGUGCUGGCGGAGUGCUCGCCCCGGAGGGAGGCUGCCCGGCAGGAGUAGGUGAGAAGUUCUGGCCUGGACUUGAGGGUGAUGUUGAUGCUGAAGGAGGCCGGGUCUCCAGUCUUGACCACCUUCUUGGCGACCUCAACGCCCUGGCUCCCCCAGAGGGAGUAGGUGAUGGGCGGGGGAGCCCGGGGUGAGUGACACGUUAUGACAACCCUGCGGCUGCUGGGGAAAACCUCCCGGACUUUGUAGGCAAUGAAGGUCUCAGGGGUGACUUCUGGCAGGUGGGAGGGUCAGGGUCCGAGGGGGGGAAGAAGGAAACCAACAUUGAUCACGCUCACGCACCUCAAGAAAAUGCCGGUUUUACGGUUCAAAAGAGUUAAAAACAAUUAUCCCACGACCUGGCAAUCCCGCUGCUAGGUAUGUACCAAACGAAUUGCAAACGGGGACUCUAAGGGACACGCGUGCACACGCAGGUUCGCAGCAGCACUCUCCGGGACAGCCGGGAGGUGAAGGUGCCCACGUGGCCAUCAGUGGAUGAACGGACGGGUCAAACGGGGUCUGGGCACACGAUGGGACAGUCCUCACCCACGACAGGGAGCGAAGUUCUGACCCACGGGUGAGCCUCACAGACAUCCGUGAGUGAGAGAAGUCAGACACGGAGGGAGCGUACCUUCCAUUCCAUUCGUGUGAAAUGUCCAGAAUAGGAAAAUCCCAAAACGGGAAGCAGAUUGCUGGUUGCCAGGGGCUGGGGGACGGGCAGAUGGGGGAGUGACUGCUCGUGGGUCGGGGCUUUCCUUUUGGGGUGAUGAAAAUGUUUGGGAACGAGGUCGGGGGAUGGUUGCACAACAGUGCGAAUGCACUAAAUGCUGCCGAAGCGUCACUUAAAAAUGGUUAAUUUUGUGUUACGUGAUGUCCCCUCAAUGUUUAAAAAGAAGGAAGGGAGAAAGAAAUAACAAGCCAGCCAGCCAGCCAGCCAAGCCUCCUGGAAAAAAGUCGACCUCUGGGAUUUAGACUUUUUGCCCCAAAUAUUUGACAACAAAAAGAAAAUGAAGUUAGGACAUGAGUAGGAAGCACAGAGAAGUUUGGGAUGCAGGUCAGCAGAGCUGACACUGAAGUCAACUUCUAGAUUCAACAAGGUGGUCAACUGUUAAGUAGCGGGGGACGGGCGUUGGUGUCAUUCUUGCACCUCACCUUAUCCUUGGCCCCAGGUAGGAGCCCCGACAUCUACUGUUUGUUGGCUGGCCCUCUCCGGUGUGCACGGAGUGCCUGUCUGCACCUCUUGUUUCAGACGCCUCCUCCUCCUCCUCCUCCUCCUCCUCCUCCUCCUCCUCCUCCUCCGACUGGAGGAGGGUCCCCCCUCUCCAUCCCCCCGCCCGCGCCGAAAGGGGUCACCGUCUGGUUGAAUGGGACAGUCUGAAGGAGGGUGUAGAGGGUAUGACCCUGGUCCACAGGGGCGAGCUGAGCCGGAGAGAAAGAGGCCACCUGGGAAAGCAGGAUUUCCAGAGAGCGGGGAGGCCCUCGAAGGAGCCUGGACGCUGCCAGCGCCUGGAGGACGCAGGCCCAGACCCACUCUCCAGCUGCACCCUGCGUCCGGCCAUCAGGACAGCCUCUCUGCUUGGAAGUGACUUCUCUGCUUUGCAGGCAGAUCCUGGGGUCGAUCUGAUGCAGAAGACACUUCCAAGAGCUUCCUUGCUACUGGGCCUCUUGCUGCCCAUACUGAAAUCUUCCAGACGGAGGUGGGGAGGACACAAA